UACGAAGGGUGCUAGCGUUGUUCGGAAUUACUGGGCGUAAAGCGCGCGUAGGCGGCCACGCAAGUCAGAGGUGAAAGCCCGGAGCUCAACUCCGGAAUUGCCUUUGAAACUGCAUGGCUAGAGUAUUGGAGGGGAGUGCGGAAUUGCUAAUGUAGAGGUGAAAUUCGUAGAUAUUAGCAGGAACACCGGUGGCGAAGGCGGCACUCUGGACAAUUACUGACGCUAAAGUGCGAAAGCGUGGGGAGCAAACAGG
rnacentral:rRNA from 1 species